GGCGGGUUAGCUCAGUUGGUAGAGCGCCUGCCUUGCACGCAGGAAGUCAGCGGUUCGAGUCCGCUUACCUCCA
rnacentral:tRNA from 1 species